GGCAAGCUGUCCUUCCAUUAUCUAAUGCAGAGAGACUGUAUUUCAGCUGUUGAGGAUUAAAUGAGGUGGCUUGGCAUGGACCAGAAAGGAAAUACGAGUGUGAAGCAGCCCCUGUGCAUUUGCCCAUCACGUCAGUCAGUAAAGAUAUCAAAUGCUAAGCUGAGGUCCUCUGGGGAAAGACGAGAGGUCACUGAAUACUUGCACAGACACAAACAGCUCUGGAUGAAUGUUGCGUUAUGUUUUGGCUCCUCUCAUCCAGUAAAGCAGCAUGCCUGCAUACCAUCUGCUUUCAGUGUUAUGUUUGGAUUAGUCAUACUUUCAAUCCAGCAUGCAUUGUGCCUCGAUAUGUGGCUUAAAGACAAAUUCACCGUCCGAUUUAGCCAUGAUAUCAGACCAUCAGUGUUUGGCAAAGCAGUAACAAUCCUAUUGUCCUUUUAAUGCCUCUUAUAACAGGCAGACCUCUGAGGCUGUUCUGUCACAAGCUGAACAUCAGAGAGAGUGAAGAGGCUUUCAGGAGAGACCAGGUCUGCAGAGAAACAUGACUUCCUUUUGGUGCAGCGAGACCUCUGACAAUGACAUAAAGUUGUGUCUGGUUUCACGGGAGGAAACAGCUUGUUGACCUGAGACUCGGCGAUGUCAGCGCGCUCCUGGGCUUCCUCCAUCUCAUGCUGCACCUUCCUGUAUCUGGUCAGGUGGGUGUUGGCCUGCUCCUCCUGUGAGAAAAUUCAACACUAGGGUCUCCACAGUGGCUUUGCCCCCUUCUUUCUUCACAAGUUUCCCCUUGAGGUACAUCUCUGCGGGCUCAGUCACAAAGUAUGCUGAUUUAGCAUCAAAGGGAGUGUUUUGAGCCUCAAUUCUCUCUCGCUCUGGCUUGCGGAGGAAAGCGGGCCGCCGGACCAAAACAUUCCAUUUCCGCGUCCCCCAUGGUUCUUGUUCUCUCUCUUCAGGGUCUCCAGGUGGUCUAAAGCUUCUUCAUAUGAAUUCUUCAUUUUGAACAUCUCUGUGCUGAGAGAACGAGCUUCUUUUAGAGAUCCCUCCAGUUCUGCCUGGCUCUCCUCAAACUUCUGCUUCCACUCUGCAAGAACCUGAACAUGUAAUAAACAAAUGAGUAUUUUGUCGCCUCACAUUACC